CUCGCCCAGCUCCUACGGAGCACCGUGGGAAUUUUGACAUGGGGGGCACCUUGAUCAGCCAUGCCGCGUGCGGGAAGAGGCUUCGGGUUGUAAAUGAUGGGGCGGGAAGAAAAGGUUACCUCUAACAGAGGUGACUGUUGAAGGUACCGGCAGAAUAAGCACCGGCUAAUCUACGUGCCAGCAGCCGCGGUAAUACGUAGGGUGCGAGCGUUAAUCGGAAUUACUGGGCGUAAAGCGUGCGCAGGCGGUAAGUUAAGUCUGAUGUGAAAGCCCCGGGCUCAACCUGGGAAUGGCAUUGGAAACUGGCUUGCUAGAGUGUGGCAGAGGGGGGUGGAAUUCCGCGUGUAGCAGUGAAAUGCGUAGAGAUGCGGAGGAACACCGAUGGCGAAGGCAGCCCCCUGGGCCAACACUGACGCUCAGGCACGAAAGCGUGGGGAGCAAACAGUUUAUUCAUACCCUGGUAGUCCACGCCCUAAAGAGACUUCAUCUGGCUGUUGGGGAAGCGAUUCCUUCGUACCAUAGCUAACGCUUGAAGUUGACCGCCUGGGGAUUACGCUUUCAAGGUUAAAACUCAAAGGAAUUGACGGGGACCCGCACAAGCGGUGGAUGAUGUGGAUUAAUUCGAUGCAACGCGAACAACCUUACCUACCCUUGACAUGUCCGGAACCCUGCUGAGAGGUGGGGGUGCCCGAAAGGGAAUCGGAACACAGGUGCUGCAUGUCUGUCGUCAGCUCUUGUCGUGAGAUGUUGGGUUAAGUCCCGCGACGAGCGCCACCCCUUGUCCCUUGUCGCUACGCAGGGCACCUCUAGGGAGACUAGCCGGUGACCAAACCGGAGGAAGGUGGGGGAUGACCGUCAAGUCCCUUCUUGGCCCUUAAUUGGGUAGGGCUGUCACACCGGUCUUAUCAUA
rnacentral:rRNA from 1 species